UCAAUCGCGAAGCCGCUCUCCGCUCGCGCAUUGGGCGUCACAGUUGGCCGAAGCCGGUCUCGCGAUCGGUCACGUCGACUCUGUCGCCUCAAGUCCAGACGGGUUGCCCGGCCGCUAACGUUGGCUCGGGGCGGUGACUCGACUCUCGAAGAGCUUUCCGCAUCUCCC
rnacentral:rRNA from 1 species